rnacentral:pre_miRNA from 1 species
AGGAGGAACAACCGCAGUGGUGGAGGACAGCUCUGGAGCCCUGGAUUCAGCCCCCGCAGGAACUCUGGAGCUCUCCAUCCGCAGGGCCUGGAGGCUCCGGGGCGGG